UCCUUUGCAAUCCCUCUUUUACCUUCUACUUUUGAUCAAAACUUCUCAUGCCCUAACAGCCCUUGCUUCAAAUUGUAAAGGUUGGUCUUCGAUUUGUCGUCGUGCGCGCAUGGAAAUCGAGAUCAAAUCGGUCCUGCUUUACCCAUCUCUCCCGAUUUUGCCACCGUAUUUAUUCUACUUGUGAUGUGAAGCACAUAGCUAAUAUGGAGCAUAGACCGUUGGCUAGUCAAACUCAAACUCAAUGGUUUGAAAUGCAUCAUCAGCAAAUUUGGAAUCAUAUACAAAAUGAUCAUAAAUUGAACUUGGGUAAUUACACAAUUUCAAGCAUCAUUAGUUCAUAUUUUUAAAUUCUGAAACAAAUGAAACAAUGAAAUACUCCAGUUUUAGUUCCAGGAAAAGGAUCUUUCAUGUUUCCAGCAGACAAUAGCUAAUGGGGCGAAUUCUCUUGCCUAUUUCAACCCUAGUUUGAGAUCAAAUGGUCUUCAAUUCAGCAAUUUUAGUUCAGAGUCUCCAAGAUAUAUGGCAGCUAAUACAGGAACAUAUUAUGAUCCUUCCAUGCAUCUUCCAACUGGUGGCAGUAUUUUUUGAGUUCCUCUGAAUUUUUCCCAACAUGGAUUUAUUCUAUAACCAAUUUAAUUUGAGGGUUGUGGGGAGUAAUGUCAAUCAACUGAUGGAUCAUGAGAGAGCAACUUGCAAAAGGAAAAACACUAUGAAUUCCAUGCUUGCUGACAGAGGGAAUAGAAAUGGAUAUUACAGUGGGGAAAGUUCUUCCAGUCUCACCACUUCAAUUGGAAAUUAUCAAUGUUAAAUCCUCAGUGCCAGCCUUGGGAUCCUGUCUGUUUUGUCCAUAAUUAUAUGAGUGAUAGUGCAUCAAUUUCUGAGGAAGCAUUUCAGAGAAAUGUUAGAAGUUGGCAUGACAAUGUCAUUCAGCUGAACAACAUCUCAUCUGGGAUCCACUCAAGUAGCAUCUUGACUCGGUAUUUUCUUUCAUCAGCAAUUACUUAAGGUGCUGACUGGUGGAGAAGCGGAGCAAUAAUCCAUAUAUGUGAAUCCUAAUACAAGGGCUUUUUCUUCAGAGAGAGGCUUCAUAAAUUAUGAGAUAAACAAACCUUGUAUAGCACACCACGCCAUCAACAGCAAUAUGUGGACCAAUGGAGGAUACCACUCCUACCUUACUGUGCCUGCUCAUAGUUGUCCCUCCAUACAAUGCCUGGUGGAAGGUCCAAAUAUCUAUGGUCAAAGAAGAGCUUAUAGGACCAAUCUAAGCUACCCAUCCUAGGUUUCGGGAGCAACAUCUGAGGAUGUCAGGCCGACGAGGGUGGGGUCUCUCGUGCAUUCAAGGCCACUCUCUUUAGCACGACCAAGUAAUGAGAGGGAUGGGAGAGCAAGAAAUCAGUACAACAGAUUCCAGUCAUCCUGAAAUGAAGACCCCAUCCAUGUUAGAUGGAUUCCUGACGGUGCAAUCAUGAUAAAUCAAAGACCCCAUGCAUUUGUUUGAUCAGCAUCAUGACAUGAGACUAGACAUCGACAACAUGAGCUAUGAGGAACUGCUUGCUUUAGGGGAGAGGAUGGGCAAUGUCAGCACCGGUUUGUCUGAAGAUGCCAUCACAAAAUGCUUGACAGAGAUAGUAUACUGCUCUUCUGACCCAAUACAAGAAGAUAAUCAUGAGCAAGAUAGCUGCACAAUAUACCGGACGCACACAAAGAUAGAGAGACCAUCUUGGGAGAUUGAACUGCAAACAACUUUUCCACUCCAGCUGUAUCGCGAAAUGGUUGCUGAGCAAGAACAUCUGUCCCGUAUGCAUAACCUCUGCCUUGGAAGAAAACUUUAAAUGACAAAUAAACUGCUAAAUUCUGUGGAAAUAUUUUUCAAGGAAGGUCAUUAUGCUAAUUUGUAAACACACUUUAGCUGCUAGACACAAUAUGCUUAUAGCUUCAGACAAAUUGAUUCAUUCAGUUUAACUGCUCAAUCCUGGUGCCAGAUUUUAGUGUUUCCUACCUUAGAAAUGCUACGAUGAGAAAUGUGAUGGUUAUGAAACUGAUUACUGCAUGUGGUU